AUAGCAGUGAGGAAUAUUGGUCAAUAGCCUAACGGCUGAACCAGCAACUUGGAAGAAUGAAAAGACAUAAUGUCGUUUGGGAUCUUUAAUUGAGAUUCUGUAGUAGUAACUCUGUUACAUAAAGUUCUAGGUAAAUAUUUGAUUAUGACAUGAUUUAUCUAUAAGUAUCGACCAAAUCCUGUGCCAGCAGUCGCGGUAAGACAGGGGAUACAAGUGUUAUUCAUAUUUAACAGGUUUAAAGGGUACUCAGACGGUUAAUUAAGCCAAUAAAGGAACUAAUUAUACUAGAGUUUGAUAGGAAAAGAUUAGAACGGUGAGUGUAGAGAUAAAAUAUAUUGAUACCACCUAGAGACUGGCAACAGCGAAGGCAAUCUUUUAUGUAAAAACUGACGUUAAAGGACGAAGGCCUAAGAUAAGAAAAGGGAUUAGGUACCCCAGUACUGUGGGCAGAAAAUGAUGAGUGUCAUAGGUAAGCAGGCUAGAUAUUAAAACAAUAGACUAGUGUAUACCUAUAAAUGAAAGUGUAAGCACUCCACCUUAAGAGUAAUAUGGCAACAUAGGAACUGAAAUCAUUAGACCGUUUCUGAAACCAGUAGUGAAGUAUGUUAUUUAAUUUGAUAAUCCGCAAAGAACCUUACCACAAUUUGAAUGUAAAUUCACAGGAGUUGCACGGCUGUCUACAGUUGAUAUCGUGAGAUUUUGGUUAGUUCCAUUUAAUCAACGUAAACCCUUACUUUAAUUUUAACAUAAAGUAGUUCACCGAUAUAUUGGUUAAGAUAAUAGGGACCAAGACAAGUCAUCAUGACCUAAAUAUUGUGGGC
rnacentral:rRNA from 1 species